rfam:Desulfobacterium vacuolatum DSM 3385 genome assembly, contig: Ga0002809_123
GGAACCGUGAGGAACCGUCUGAAGGAAGUUGGAGCGCAAAACUAUGAGCCGACGAACAGAAACAGCAUAUAAGGCCUGGUCUCCGGGUAAGUUAGCCACACAUAACAAAGUCCAGGAUUCAGGAGGCAAGGUAAAUGCUGCGGUUGUGUAGUGACAGUUCACGUU